AGCAGCCGUGGUAAUUCCAGCUCCAAUAGCGUAUAUUAAAGUUGUUGCAGUUAAAAAGCUCGUAGUUGAAUUUCGGGAUCAAUUUGCUGGUCGUGCCUCUGGUACGUACUGGUAUUAUUGGUUUCUCCCUUCUGACGAACCAUGAUGUCAUUAAUUUGAUGUCGUGGAGAAUCAGGACUGUUACUUUGAAAAAAUUAGAGUGUUUAAAGCAGGCAUUAGCUUGAAUACAUUAGCAUGGAAUAAUGAAAUAGGACGUUUGAUCCUAUUUUGUUGGUUUCUAGGAUUGACGUAAUGAUUAAUAGGGAUAGUUGGGGGCAUUAGUAUUCAAUUGUCAGAGGUGAAAUUCUUGGAUUUAUUGAAGACUAACUACUGCGAAAGCAUUUGCCAAGGAUGUUUUCAUUAAUCAAGAACGAAAGUUAGGGGAUCGAAGACGAUCAGAUACCGUCGUAGUCUUAACCAUAAACUAUGCCGACUAGGGAUCGGAUGAUGUUAAUUUUUUAAUGACUCAUUCGGCGCCUUA
rnacentral:misc_RNA from 2 species